UUACCGAUUGUCAAACCAGAUCUGUUUUAUUCGCCGAGGGUGCGUUUUGCGGAGGCGUUUCUAACGCACUUGGUCACUUUGAGGAAGAGAAAAUUGAUCUUUUUCGAUAAGUAUUUCCGGUUCAGACCGUCUGCCUCGCGAUAAGAAGCAUCUGUCGACAAUCACAACGUAAUGCAUCUCAGGUAAAAAUCCGCGCCUGCUGGAUAUGUCAGCUGCCGCGCGCGCACCGGUUGGUUUGUAUAAAACUGUUUCUCUGUGUGAAAAGCACAAUGGAAUCACACAACACGGUAGGCAUCUGCUCCCCUCUUGACUUCGGAUUUUUUUUUCGGCAUUUCGGUAUUGACAAACCGGAUUUAAAGGGACGGCUUCGGAAUUUUACCUGGACUCUUCAUUUGUCACACAAUCCGGCAUCUGACGUAAAACGCAGGUGCACACAUCUCUCCGAAUGUAUCUGAAGAGAAGCAGGUAGAAUAUUUUCGAAGAUUACCUCUGCCGCGAGAGCGUAAAAGAAAAGUAACACCUGCCGUGCGACGCAAUCCGCCAACCAGACGAAAAUUUUUAUUUUUAUCCAUUUAAAAAGUUUCUUUUGCUGAAGAAUGUACUUCUACAAGUGAAAACAAAGAAGAAACAUAAGAUAUCAAGACCUCGCCCAUGUCUCUAACUCAUUAAACAACUAAUUAUACAUGCUCGCAUUAACGUAUUGCAACACACAGUACC